UGCGUAGGCGGCCGCUUAAGUAGGGUGUGAAAUGUCCCGGCUCAACCGGGGAAUGGCGCUCUAAACUGGGUGGCUCGAGUGAGAUAGAGGUGUGCGGAACUUCCGGUGGAGCGGUGAAAUGUGUUGAUAUCGGAGGGAACACCAUUGGCGAAAGCGGCACACUGGGUCUUAACUGACGCUGAGGCACGAAAGCCAGGGGAGCAAAACGG
rnacentral:rRNA from 1 species